AAAUAGAUUUGUUAGGUGAGGCUCCUAUACAAACACAGGCUACUGCCCAAAAACGUCGAGAGACACCAAUGGGUAUAACAGGGAUUAUCGAGAUAAGGUUUUUCUUAACGUAGCUAAAGCUAAUGCUUUUACGUUGUAUAGUGCUAAAACUCAACGAUUGGAUCUUAAG
rnacentral:sRNA from 2 species